GACAGAGGGUGCAAACGUUGUUCGGAAUUACUGGGCGUAAAGCGCGUGUAGGCGGUUUCGUAAGUCGGAUGUGAAAGCCCUCGGCUCAACCGGGGAAGUGCACCCGAAACUGCGGAACUAGAGUCUCGGAGAGGAUCGUGGAAUUCUCGGUGUAGAGGUGAAAUUCGUAGAUAUCGAGAGGAACACCUGUGGCGAAGGCGGCGAUCUGGACGGUGACUGACGCUGAGACGCGAAAGCGUGGGGAGCAAACAGG
rnacentral:rRNA from 1 species